CAACGAAGAGGAAAGGAGCGAUGGCGCUGGUGGAGAUUGCCCACCAAGUCCAUCGGAAUUUCGCAACCACGGACACACAUUGUGUUGCACCCAAUUGCGAAUGCUAAAUUUACGGCUCCCUAUUUCCUCGUUUGUAGAAGUUCUUUUUGUUGUUUCUAGAGCCAUUAGAUCAGGCGUGGUCUGCUGAGACUGCGACCAGAGUUGCAGCGUUCGUGACUUUGUUAUCAGCAUUGAAUCCGAAGCAGCUCGUUUGACAUAAGUUGUGCGUUACUGCAACUUUGAGGAAGUUGAUAAGCAUGCCGGCAUGCAGUGAGAAGAGGAGAAGCAUGAUACAUAGAGCAAGAAGGCUUUGAACUCAACGAUGGGACGCGAUGCCAUUGUUAGACUCCAGGAGCAGACGUGCUGAAGCUGAGAUUACAUGCGUCAUUCCUCUUUACGGCAAGAAAAACAGAGGAAAAAGCAGCUGUUCUUAGUGAUGCCUUCAAAUAGUGACUACUCAAACAAGAGGAAUUGUCAUUAACACUCUGAAAUAGUGAUGACGGCCAUAUCAGGGAAGCAUGCGAGAAUAUUUCUGAGAACCUUCAGCUUGAGUACUUGGAUUUUAUUCGGUUCACUCAUUUUGCAUGACAGACUUGUGAUCUCUACGUCUACUCUUGGAUGCCUCAACUGUUAACUUGUUGGUUGUAUACCUAUCAUGCUUGCUUAUCAGUAAAGCUUUGACGAAGGGCCAGAAUUUUUACAUUUCUAGGAAUGGACAUCAGAAUCAGUAAAUGAAAAAAUGGUGGGAUUCUCGGCAUCUACGUGACCAUCUCCACUUGGAUCACUUGACAAACGAUGGAGAAUCUUGUGCCUGUUGACCUAGUCCAGAGCGUUAGUAUCAGUUUAAUCAUCUACCUUCUUUUGAAGUUUCAAUUCUACACGGGUUUACUUCGCAUACUCAAAAGUCAUGCCAGCCGUGACCCGGAUUCAAACCUGUCUUUGCUUCCAAUGCGAUUUUCUUGUAACUUUUUUGUUUCAUGCAUAGACCCUUAGUAGCCGUACCCAAGUCCUUGGGCGGAGUGCUGCCAACAUCGAAUGGUUUACUUUCACAUCCGUACUGGACGAUCUUAUUCUGCAGAGAAUUGCGAGGCAUGAAAGAGACGACCCACUCGAGUUGCGGCUUCGGUGGGGAAUUCAGUGCAAUGCCGUAGAAAGUGACAUAAAAGCUGAAUUGACUGAAGGAGAAGUCCUACCUGAUCAGCUUCGAGUUAACUGAGGGCGACAUGAAGCCUAUCAAAUCUUGGAGAAAGUUUGCACACAAACCAGCCUGAGUGUUUCUGGAACACUGAUCUCUUCGCUAAGAGAUCAAUGCUGAUCAGUGAAGCACCGUUUUAGUGCAGUGACCCCACCUUUCAGACGAAAUUUGUAAGCUGUGUGUGUUUUGGCCACUUUGCAUCCCAAUGUGCAUUCCGUUUCAUGACAAAGGUAUUCCACCAGCAUUUAAGUGUGUUCACUUAGGCUUGUGGUCAAUUGUAGAGGUUACAUGUACAACAGAAUAAAUGAAGAAUCAUAAAAUUGUGGGGUUUAGACACACGCGCAAAUAAAAGUGGUCUAAUUUUUAUUUGAUACUCUUUUAUUUUUCUUUUAUGUAUAUAUAUAUAUAUAUUAUUUUACUUUUCAUUUUUAUUU